UGUGUGUGUGUGUGUGUGUGUAUGUGUAGGUAUGUAUGUGUGUAUAUACACACACACACACACACACACACACACACACAAUAGA
rnacentral:miRNA from 11 species